CCUACGGGUGGCUGCAGUGGGGAAUUUUGCGCAAUGCUCGUAAGAGUGACGCAGCGACGCCGCGUGAAUGACGCAGGCCUUCGGGUCGUAAAGCUCUUUCGACAGGGAAGAAAAUGCCUAUAAGUAACUGUGUAUGUAUUGACGGUACCUGUAUAAGCAGCCCCGGCUAACUCCGUGCCAGCAGCUGCGGGAAUCCGGAGGGGGCGAGCGUGAUUCGGAGUGACUGGGCGUAAAGAGCACGUAGGCGGUGUUGUAAAUCAUUAGGCAAAGACUAGGGCUCAACUUGAGUAAGGCUGGUGAUACUAUAAUACUAGAGUAUCAGAGAGGAUUGCAGAAUUCCUGGUGUAGCGGUGAAAUGCGUAGAUAUCAGGAGGAAUACCGUUAGCGAAGGCGGCAAUCUGGCUGGAAACUGACGCUGAGGUGCGAAAGCGUGGGUAGCAAACAGGAUUAGAUACCCGUGUAGUC
rnacentral:rRNA from 1 species